UACGUAGGGGGCAAGCGUUGUCCGGAAUCAUUGGGCGUAAAGCGCGUGUAGGCGGCUAGAUAAGUCUGCUCUGAAAGCCCGGGGCUCAACCCCGGGGAGGCGGGUGGAUACUGUCUAGCUCGAGUCCGGAAGAGGAGUGUGGAAUUCCUGGUGUAGCGGUGAAAUGCGCAGAUAUCGAGGAGGAACACCGAUGGCGAAGGCAGGUCUCUGGGCCACUACUGACGCUGAGAAGCGAAAGCAUGGGGAGCAAACAGG
rnacentral:rRNA from 1 species